UACGUAGGGGCCUAGCGUUGUCCGGAUUUAUUGGGCGUAAAGAGCUCGUAGGCGGUUCGGUAAGUCAGGUGUGAAAUCUCCACGCUCAACGUGGAGGCGCCACCUGAAACUGCCGUGACUCGAGUCCGGUAGGGGAGUGUGGAAUUCCCGGUGUAGCGGUGAAAUGCGCAGAUAUCGGAAGGAACAUCAGUGGCGAAAGCGGCUUCCUGGUCCAGCACCGACGUUCAGGCACGAAAGCGUGGGGAGCAAACAGG
rnacentral:rRNA from 1 species